AAAGGACAGAGGGAGAGAGAUAGCAUGUCCUAAAGGUGGUUUCCCCAGGUAAGACUAAUCUUAGUGCUCUGGAUCUGCUGCCCUGCAAUCUCCCCAAAUAUGGGAAAGUCCACUGCGUAAUUUAUGGCAGUUGGGGGCUGCAUUUGUACUCUCCCCUA
rnacentral:snRNA from 1 species